rnacentral:piRNA from 1 species
UCUUGGCCAUGCCAGGAGAGACUCACUCACC